AAAUCAACAACAGAAUGUCACCGUGUCAUUGGAUGAAAUCAACAACAGAAUGUCACCGUGUCAUUGGAUGAAAUCAACAACAGAAUGUCACCGUGUCGUUGUAUUUAGGUUGCCAGUUGGGUGAAUAAAAGACUCCCUGACUUUUUCACAUCCAAUCAGUUUUCCAUGUUGAUUCAAUGUCAUCACGGUUUGGGUUGCCCGGGGGUGUGUGUGUGUGUGUGUACAGGGGUUACAUGAGGAGAGGUUUCAGUGCAACUAUUGUUUGUACAAACAAAAACACACUCAGUGGUCUGGAAGGACAAGAAGUCCUUGUGUUCUCUUCUCCUCUCUACUAUAAACGAAGGGGUCCCUUCCAUCUGAACUCUCUACUAUAAACGAAGAGUUUCUUUCCAUCUGAACUCUCUACUAUAAACAAAGAGUUUCUUUCCAUCUGAACUCUCUACUAUAAACGAAGAGUUUCCUUCCAUCUAAACCAUCUAAACUCUCUACUAUAAACGAAGGGGUCCCUUCCAUCUGAACUCUCUACUAUAAACGAAGAGUUUCUUUCCAUCUGAACUCUCUACUAUAAACGAAGAGUUUCUUUCCAUCUAAACUCUCUACUAUAAACGAAGGGGUCCCUUCCAUCUGAACUCUCUACUAUAAACGAAGAGUUUCUUUCCAUCUGAACUCUCUACUAUAAACGAAGGGUUUCCUUCCAUCUAAACUCUCUACUAUAAACGAAGAGUUUCCUUCCAUCUAAACUCUCUACUAUAAACGAAGGGUUUCUUUCCAUCUGAACUCUCUACUAUAAACGAAGAGUUUCCUUCCAUCUAAACUCUCCUCUCUUUUCCAUCCCUCCUCUUUUCUCUCUUUCCUUCUCUCCCUGGCUUUGUAGUGUGCCACAGGGGGUUGGUUUGAGAGGGAGGGUGGUAUUCUGUCUGUCUGUGUGUGUGUGUGUGUGUGUGUGUG
ensembl:lncRNA